GACGAACGCUGGCGGCGUGCCUAAUACAUGCAAGUAGAACGCACAGUUUAUACCGUAGCUUGCUACACCAUACACUGUGAGUUGCGAGCGGGUGAGUAACGCGUAGGUAACCUGCCUGGUAGCGGGGGAUAACUAUUGGAAACGAUAGCUAAUACCGCAUAAUAUUGAUUAUUGCAUGAUAAUUGAUUGAAAGAUGCUAUUGCAUCACUACCAGAUGGACCUGCGUUGUAUUAGCUAGUAGGUGAGGUAACGGCUCACCUAGGCGACGAUACAUAGCCGACCUGAGAGGGUGAUCGGCCACACUGGGACUGAGACACGGCCCAGACUCCUACGGGAGGCAGCAGUAGGGAAUCUUCGGCAAUGGACGAAAGUCUGACCGAGCAACGCCGCGUGAGUGAAGAAGGUUUUCGGAUCGUAAAGCUCUGUUGUAAGAGAAGAACGGGUGUGAGAGUGGAAAGUUCACACUGUGACGGUAUCUUACCAGAAAGGGACGGCUAACUACGUG
rnacentral:rRNA from 1 species